rnacentral:rRNA from 1 species
UGCGUAGGUGGCAAGGUAAGUUCGAUGUGAAAUCCCGGGCUCAACCCGGGAACUGCAUUGAAAACUAUCUCGCUCGAGGGUCGGAUGGGAGACUGGAAUUCUCGGUGUAGCAGUGAAAUGCGUAGAUAUCGAGAGGAACACCAGUGGCGAAGGCGAGUCUCUGGACGACACCUGACACUGAGGCACGAAAGCUAGGGGAGCAAACA